rnacentral:rRNA from 10 species
UAGCGCGGUGGUCCCACCUGACCCCAUGCCGAACUCAGAAGUGAAACGCCGUAGCGCCGAUGGUAGUGUGGGGUCUCCCCAUGUGAGAGUAGGGAACUGCCAGACA